rnacentral:rRNA from 1 species
UACGAAGGGGGCUAGCGUUGCUCGGAAUCACUGGGCGUAAAGGGUGCGUAGGCGGGUCUUUUAAGUCAGGGGUGAAAUCCUGGAGCUCAACUCCAGAACUGCCUUUGAUACUGAAGAUCUUGAGUUCGGGAGAGGUGAGUGGAACUGCGAGUGUAGAGGUGAAAUUCGUAGAUAUUCGCAAGAACACCAGUGGCGAAGGCGGCUCACUGGCCCGAUACUGACGCUGACGGCGCGAAAGCGUGGGGAGCAAACAGG